AACGAACGCUGGCGGCGUGCCUAACACAUGCAAGUCGAACGGAGUUAUAGUUGUAGCAAUACAGGUAUAGCUUAGUGGCGGACGGGUGAGUAACACGUAGGUAACCUACCCUUAGGCGGGGGACAACUCAGGGAAACUUGAGCUAAUACCGCAUAAACCCACGGGCUGGGAUGCUUGUGGGAAAAGUGGCAACACACCUAAGGACGGGCCUGCGGCCUAUCAGGUAGUUGGUGGGGUAAGAGCCCACCAAGCCGAAGACGGGUAGCCGGGCUGAGAGGUUGGACGGCCACACUGGAACUGAGACACGGUCCAGACUCCUACGGGAGGCAGCAGUGGGGAAUCUUGCGCAAUGGGGGAAACCCUGACGCAGCGACGCCGCGUGGAGGAUGAAGGUCUUCGGGUUGUAAACUCCUUUUCUUGGGGAAAAUGAUGAUG
rnacentral:rRNA from 1 species